rnacentral:lncRNA from 1 species
GCCACAGCCACCCACGUGGUCGAAAUCCAGCCCUGCCGGCUGGAGAGAAUCUGAUUAGACUACGCGUUUUGGCUCGCAGUGUGUUCAGUUGUCGCCGAACGGAACUUACUGCAAGCUAUCAAAUCUGGGUCUUAUUUUGUUGAGUCGAAAGUGAAAUUUUCCUUCGGCCAACGUGACAGGUAAGGGAGUUCCCACCCUGGGAGGAUUCGUUUGGUUUUUCGGUUUAGAAGCACGAGCUUUUUGGCCUUGUGAGGUCCCAUAAAUUGCAUUUCUUUACAGGGCUUUGUUUGGUGGUAAAAAGGGUGCUAGAGACCCCUCAUUCCACUGCCACUGGAGGGCGCGUUUCUCAGCUCUUGCUAUUCAAACCUGCUAAAAGGAAUUCCUAGAUCGAAGCACCCCGCACACCGCUAAUUUUCAAGUGUUGUAAGGAAGCAUCCCAUCGCAACCUGCAUUUAGCUUAAAGAAAUCAGAAAUUAGAAAUAUUUUUUUUGUUAAGUGUCAGUUUGGCAGCGAGGAACCAUGUUUUAUUAGCGCAAUCUUUUCAGUGUUUUUUAAACAUGCAAAAAUGUCAUCUUUCCAAAUCAGAAAAAUGCCUAGUCUGUGAGGUUUCCAGGUACACGUUUCUGGAAUGAUCUUGUAAAUUUCUUGAGACGAGAAAGCUCAGUCAACUAAUUGACUCAUGCACUUCUUCACUUGGAUUCCCUACAGGUCUCAAAUGCAACAUUUAAUAUUGAACUCGUCAUUUUCCCCAGCCUCCCUUAAAGAAAAAUAACAAAAACCAAUUCGCUUCUACUGCGUUGCCCUGCCAUAUUCAGUAGUACUACUGUCUAAAUAAUUGCCUAAGCCAGAAGAAAGAAACCGGGAGAAAAGACUUUGGCUUUCCACCCCCACAUGUCCAAUCAGUUAGUCAGGUGUAAGAUUUCUAUUUAUAAAAUAUUUCUCAAAUAGGUCCUCUGCUCUUGGUCCGCUCUGCCUCUGACUGUUUAUAUUCUUCUCGUCAUUUCUCGCUGAGAUUACAGCAAUAGCCUCCUAACUAGUUUGUCUGCAUUCAGCCCUGGCUUUCCUCCAGUGCACUCUCCAGUCUACCAAACAUCUGUCCGUGUCAGUCCUCUUCUUAAAAUCCUCCAGUGGUUUCUCAUUUUCUGUAAUAAAAUCCAAACUCCUUAGUUGGGUAUACAGGCCUGUUAGGAUCUGACUCCUGCCUACUUUUCCAUCUCCUGCCUCCCCCAUGUAUCCUAGGCUUUUUUUCUCUUGUCUCAGUAUGCCCUUCCCCUUUGUCCUCUUAAUUAGGCAAAUGCCUGUUAAUUCUUUAAGCCUCAACUCUAGCAUCAUGUCCUGAAAGCUUCCUUGAAACCUGAAUGCAUAUGUACAUGCUCACAUCUUAAUACAUGGUGGGUACUCAAUAAAAAAAUUGUUAAAUCAAACUGUUAAUGGCCAGACCAUGUUAUCCAUUUUUAUAUCUCUGUUGCUUAACACUGUCUUAUAAAAGGUGGCAUUAAUGGAUAAAUGAAUAAAUCAUCAAAAGAGUAUAUGAAUAUUAUGCUGAGAAAGAGGGUCUUUUUUUGUUGUUUGUUCAUAAUCUGUGAAGUGGAAUUGUAGAGAAUACACACCAUAAAGGUUAUGGUGAACGUUUAAUUUUUUAGUGCUAAGGUUUUUCACCUGGGAGACUUUGAAAAAUGGUAGGGGAAGACUGCCCAAGAUGGGCUAGGGUUGUAGCUCAGUGGUAGAGUGCUUGCCUAGCAUGUGUGAG